CAUACCUGGGUAACAGGAAAAAUCAACCGAUAACUAGGAAUGCAUCAAAAGGUGCCGUCAAAGGCUAACUCCGAUUGCAUCUGGAAAGAUUGAACAGAGUUAAACUGUAUAUGUAUCCCAUUCAUCUGCUGAUGGAGAUCCGGGCUGAUCCCACAUCUGGGAGAGGCACUGUUGGCUUGUGCAUCACAACUUUGCAUGCUGUCCAGUCAGUAAGAGCAGUGCAAGUCUGAACACAAAAGAAGCAGGGACUGAGGUCACGGGGAGCUACAGCCCGGAACGGUGACACUUAUCCAUGCUGAGACCUACCAAGACUGAUGAGACUUGCCUUUUCGAAAAUUGAAAGCACUUCACUCAAAACUGGUCCUGAGUGGCGGUUUGGGUCAGUGCAGGGCGACCACCCAUCCUGGACUACCUCCAUCCUGUGAGUUGUCUCAAUCCCGAGUGAGCUGGAUGACGGGUCCCCCUGUCCUCAGCUGUGGCCACACACUGGAACUCCCCAAAGAGCUUUGACACACGCAUGCCUGGGAUACCCAACUCCUUUAGAGAGUCUAGUGUGAUGGGUCCUGGACACUGGGGUUUUGCAAAGCUCCCCAGAUGGUCCCAGCAGAUGACCAGGUUAAGG